UCUAUAUAUAUUUAUAUAUUUAAAAUGUUUGUUUUCGAUUAUUGUAUUCUAUAUUAAAGGCAGAAUUAACCAAUAUGUACAGUAAGAUCAUAAAGCAAAUUUAUUGUGGGCCAAGGAUCAAGCUUCAAAUCAGGUGUACGGGUAUCCAUUUGGCUUGUGCAAUCGGUUUUAGAGUGAUGAAACUUGAAGGCACAAGGACUUUUUGGAGGGUAGCCUUAGAUAUUCCUAACCCUUUCACAACCAAAAGAGUUAAUCAAAAUGAAAGGACAACAGAAGGGUUAAACAGAUAAAGAUAAUAUCUGGGAGGUAAGUUUUGGAUCUUAAAUCAUUCUACAGAAUAUUUUAUUUCUUAGUUUUGUUUGUUUGCUUUUUAUUACUUCGUGAUGUAGAAGAAUGAGGAGUUUUAUACAGUAUUUGAUUUGUUUUUACCUUGCUUUAGAAGUAAAUAUUAGCGGUUACUUGGAACAGAAAGUAACAUUUUUAUUUUGUUUUAUAUUUCUACUCUUCGGGUUUUGCCUGUGGUUCUUUUAUUAAUGGUUUGGCUAGCUGUAAAAUGAAGCCAAACGGUUAUUAACAUUAAGUCACGUAAAAUAUUUUUAAAAGCUGAAUGCGACAUUUGAACAAUGCAAAGGAAAUACGUGUUUUGAAGACAUAGUAAUAAAAUAUUGCUACUUACACACUGUUUCAUAUUUCUUUAACCAGUUUAAUUGAAGACUUCCAAGAUUUGGUUUUAUGUCAGAGAACUUGCACAGCGAUAAAUUAUAAAGCAGCUUUGAUGUUCUCAGCGGAAUCAAAAUAUGAAUAUAUGAGCAGUAUUAUAGAAAGGGUAUUGCUCCUGAGACAUCCUGCUCUGCAGGGGUGGCAGUCUGGAGUGACACAGCUUCAAGCAUUUUUCACAAGCAAGAAUCAAAAUUAACCCUCUUAGAGGGAAGUAUUAUUUCAACAGCUUGCUCAAAGCUCAUUUGUAAUUUCAUGUGUUUCCUUAUUAUUUUUGUAAUUUAAAAUAAAUUGGUACAUUGUAUAUCAAACACAAAAGCUUUUAUUCUACAGUAUUUAACUGACAUGCUUGAAGGUAAAAGCCUAGAGUUGUAUAAAUUAAAAAUGUGUUGGUAAUGAAGACUGAACAUAUGCCAAAGGCCAUUGACUUCUGGAAAAGGUAAGUGGCAAGGAUAUUAACCAAUAUCCUUGGAUGUAUUAACCAAGAAAUGUUUUAUAUUCAUCAGAUUUUUUACAAGUGUUAUAAGUCAUCAUUUUGUUGAGUUUUUUGAUUUUACAAAUAUGAUGGGGACGUCAGAGAUGACAAUAAGUACACUUCAAUUCAUUCCUUAAAAUCUCAUUAUAUAUUGUGAAUUUCUUAUUGAAAGUGGGUACCCUAUUUCUGGAGAACUUUUAUCUGUUUUUCAGCAAUGGUAUACGAGUUCAAUGAAUGUUCUUUGUACCUGGCUGACGGAUCGCAUGGACAUUCAGCUUCAUAUUUACCAGCUAAAGACACUUAUUAGGAUUGUCAAGGUAAAUUAAUCCAGUGUUAAUAAUGUUAUGCAAUAUAGCAUUGUAGACAUUUUAUAUUUAGGUAUUUUUUUUUAUAUAAAACCUGUUAAUCACAAUAUAUUUUCCAUUUUCAUUAAUGUUCAUCAGAAAUUGAAUGCAUGUUUUUUUCUGUUAUCUUUUCACAUUGUAUUUAUAUCAACUGUCAUGAUAUUACAUAUCAAAAAAUCUCAUUUGUAUGUUGCCAUUAAGCAUGGACAUUUUGAUAAGUUUUUAUUUUUAUUAAAAAAAAAAAAAUUAUGAAUACAAAAGUCAGAAUUAUUAUUCCCAUUAUUUUGUUAUACUUUAUAAAGGAGGUUAAAAAUUUUGCUAUUUUUUGUGGUUUUUUUUACUUGUUUCUAAAAAAAAAAAACUAAAGAAAUACUAGAUAUUUGAUUAAUAUAAAAUGUGUAGCGUUUUUGUAUUUUACUGAUAUUGGUAUUUUUUAAUUGUCUGAAGAGCACAGUCAACCAUAAAAAAUUAUGCUUACGUAUCUGGUUGCGAUGCAAAUAUUUCUGCACAGCAUGGUAUAAUGUAUUCUUUGAUCAUUAACCAAAAUGCAAAUUGAUAUUGUUCUUACAAUUAACUCAAGUAGUUUCUCUUACAAUGGGUGUUUACACUGAACUAUAAGAGAUCACAUAGGUGAGAUAACAUGCCCGGAAAGUUUUUUUUUUUUUUAUUAUUAUUAUUCCUGUCUAUGUGUGUCUUGGACAAAUGAUAAUUAUUUCAGUGUGAAAUCACAGUGAGCUACAUGGAAUAAGAUUGUUAGAAGAGUCAAGAUAAUUUGGUGAUGUUAGUUAAUGCAAAAUAUAUGCUUUGUUACUCGUAAGUAGUAAUUUUGAGUCACUAUUAAAUUAGCAGUAAGUGGCUAGUGCUUCUUGCUCAAUUAAUGUUUAACUAUUAUGUACAUUGUAUACAAUUUACUAAUUCCUUCAAUAUAUAUAAACAUAAAGUAUGUAAUUAGUAAAUCAUACGUACUUUAGGUUGAAGAAUACUGAGAUUUAAAAAAAAAAAAAAAACAGAAUAAGUGAAAAUAUUAACCAGGUGUAAUGACACAUACAUUAUGUUAUGGGUAUUAUGAUCAGAAUUCUAACUACGUCAAUGAAUUAUUAUUUUUUUAGAUGUUAUCCGAAGACUAAUAAUAGUCUAUUCUUUUUCAUCACUAAAUAUAAAUCUGUUGAAGUGGGCUGUAGGAUGAAUUGUACAUAUUGUCUAACUUUAUUACGACAUAAAUCUUAAUCACAGCCAAUUUCACAAUGUUUUCUUAUCAAUUAGAUAUAUCUCAUUUCAGUGACUUAAAGAUACUGGCAAAGCGAUGCUUGGGCAAAUUAAUUGUUGAAAUUAAUAAGAGAUGUAAAAUGUAUGGGUCGAUUCACUUUAUAGCUUGUAAAAUUAUUGUCAUAUUACAUAGAUCACAUUAUACCGUUUAGCUUUAGUUUAUCCAAUUUGUAUUUUAUCUUAAGUUUUUCAGGUUUAAUAUCAGGUCACUAGAGCUUGCUGUUUAGCAAAUAAACUGCACUAAAUUGAGAAUUGCUGAGAAUUUAAAGUACAUUCAAAGUGAAUUUCACAUUUUAGGCAAAAGUGAAGUCCUGUAAUGCAAGCAGGUUAUUUUCUUUAAUGCAUUCUUAUAGAGUAUUAAUAAUCAGCCUAUAUUGGAUUUUAAUUGAGACAUUUUGGAUAUAGUGUCUGGAGUCCUUUUAAAGUUUUAAUGAUAAACGAGAGUCCCUAUCAGUCCAUGCCCUCUGUGCUGCUUAUGCUAAUGAGGAGCAGUAGCCUGAACAGCAACAGGUAGUUGGGAUUGGCUGAGAGCAUCAGCUGAAUGCUUUCAACCUAUCACAGUGCCCUUUGCUUUUAUGCAUUGAUAUAGCUAGAAGAAAGUGUGUUAUCUGUAUCCUAUCCAUACUGCCAAAGUGGGUGGCUACGGACCCUUAGUAUUAAACUGAUAGAAAGGCUUAACACUAAAUGCAGGGACAGAGGAUUCCAAUCACUAUACACAAUUCAAUCAGGUGAAUCAGAUGGUUAUAGUACCUACAGUGUACCUUUAACAAUGACAGUUAAAAAAAAAAAAAUUCAACACUUUGAUGAUAUUUUAGCGCAAUUCUAUUAAUAAAAGUAGCAUUUCAUUUUCAAGGUCUUAAAGUCAUAUAUUAUAAUGAAGGGUGCAACUAACCCCAGGGCUGGAUUUAAAAUGGAAAUAUUUAUAGAGGCUGAUUUCUCAUACCCUACCUCUAGCAAUACCGCUCCCAAAAAUGUUGUUCUCUGUUUUUUGUUCAAUGAUUCAGAGGACACACAAGAAAUUUGGAAACACACCUUCAAUUACCAUUAAUAUCCAUGAAAAAGUAUAAUCAAAUAUAUUCUCACAUGGAGAAAAUACACAUUUGCAUGUAUUGGGCUUUUAAUGUGUGAUAGUCUUCCUCUAUCAAUAAUUAGAAUAGGCAAGCUAGAAAAUGUACAGACACCAGUAUGUUUUUGAGAGACCCCUGUACAGUACAUUUCGUCUAUAGGUUUUAUAAAAUGUGUACAGCAGGAAGUAAGCGUUCACGGACCAAAGCAAUAAAAAACACUUAUACAUCAUUACCAAGUGUAUCAUCUGUAUCCUUUACAUGGGGUACUGCAGGGCUCCUGAGAACAGAAUUGGUUAAGAUGUCUCAGCCGAAUCUUGGUCUUACUGAUGUCACUGUACAAGAUCCACAGAAAUAGCAUCAAACCUGGGUAAAGAUUCCAUUUAAGUCUGGAGUCUGCCUUUAACCUAGUCUGAAUGUGUCCUCCUUCUCACUUUGUACUUGAGGAAGUAACGUAUAGAAGGCAGGAGGAUAAAUAGAGAAAGAUAACAGUUUGGAUCAUAUUUUAACUUUAAAGGCCAAAUGUCACAAAAACAUCACCUCAAAAAAAAAAAAUGCAAACAAGCAUUUCAUUGCAGGGACUUAAAUAGAUUAUUACUAUAACAUAACACUGUAAAAAUAGUUAUUUUGCAAUGAAAAUGGUGUGGGGAAAAAAGUCUUGAAAGCCUCUCUCUCACCAUUAAUGUAUCAAGUAAUAAUUUUCACCCCAUUUUUUUUUAGCUUCUAAUUGGAUUAGUAUCAUGAGGGGGAUGGCUACAGUGAAUUGACAAUCAAGUGUGCAAAAUGUUGUACAUAAUAACAGAGAGAGGAAAUGUAAAGCUUGUAUAGUUUUUGCAUUGGCUAGUUUGCCAUAAAACGUGCAACGCAUUUGUCCAUUUACCAAGACUUAAUGAAUAAAUCCCUAUAAAAAGGCACAUUAAGGCUACCCAUCACAUUUGAGAAAUCUAGAAAUUAGCUUCAAAUAAAUUACCAUUUAAUAAUAUUAUGUUUUGCCCUUGCCAUGAUGAUGUUAUCAGUAUUCCUAUAAAUACAUUUGUUUUUGGUCUGUUUUCAGAAAAAAUACAGGGAUUUCCGAUUGCAAGGCGUACUGGACUCCACUUUAAACAGCAAGACAUAUGACGCAAUCAAAACCAGGCUAGGUGUAGAGGAGAGUGUAGCUUCAAUCAGCGAAGGAGGUGGCUUGCAAGGAAUUACCAUGAAAGACAGCGAUGAGGAAAAUGAAGAUAACAAUUAAUUUAUUUUGGUUUUAGAGGCCCUUUUGGAUGUAGCCUGGUACCCAGUGCAUGUCUGUUAUGUUAAACCAUACUAGGGACUUUUCCGUCAGCUCCAAAUGCCCAUAAGAACUUUACCAAUAGAAAUCUCAUUCUAGCUGUGUGAUAAAUAACAAAUACACACCUACAUUUGGUUCAUGGGAUUCCCAAAUUUCAAAUCUAUAUAUGUUCAUAAGCAAUAUAGAGCACCAUUGUUUAAAUACUGUUAAUUGAAUUAUAAUGAAAACAUGCUAGGUGUCUCCCUUUCCUCGGCAAAAAGUAAACAAUGCUUCAUCAGUACUGUAAUGUAUAUACGUUGAUGGUAAAUUGUUGUGAAAAUUAAGUGACCUCUAGUAAUUUCAUUUAUGUUGCAUCAGUAGCAGCUUAUCAAAUGAAUUAUAAAAAAAAAAAAAGGCUUUCUUUUUAAAGACAAGUAAGGCUACACCCAAUGAGGUUCAUCAUUAACAAAACUAAGAGAGACAACAACAGAAACAACCGAUUUCUUUUCAUUCUGAAUUCUUGUUUAUACAACCAUCAUGAUAUAUUUUCAACAUUCCGUUAGUUGAGUAGAGGUUACAUGUCCGUGGAAUAGUAUUCUGAAACCACACAAGUUUACCUUUGCCAUAAUAGAAUACAUCUAAACAGGACCACCCUCCAAGCCAGCUUUAUGUUAAAGUCUUCUUUAUCAAUGUUAUGUUCUGUUUAGGUUUUAAUAAAAGUGUAUGUAAAGAAAAAAAUUAAAUAAAAAGAAAGACAACUUUAAUAACAAACUUAGACUAUAAACUGUGUUUAUAAUAUUAUACAGUACUUAUUUCCGUAGAUUGUAGCCUUGAUUUACAUUGCAUUAUGUUGAACAAUUCUUUUUAUAUUUGCCAUGUACAUUGCAUUUUAUCCAGUAAUUGCAUGUCACCAGGGUCCCUCAAGAAGCUUUUUUUUCUCUGUGUAAAAUAGUGGAUCCAUCUUGCUUUUGCCUUACAAAAGCCUACAGUUGUAAAAGUGUGAACACUGUGGCUUCUCAAUAAAUAACUAUUCAGAUGUCUUACAAAUCAAUCAUUUGUUUGUUGCAUUGCUGUGGGGAUGAGUGUCUCUUUAAAUUAAUAGUGAAGUCUCAUGAUAAGUAACUAACAUGUUAAAAUCAUUGUUAAUACCAACAUGCAAGGGCAGUUCCAGAGCCUGAUUUUGGAGGGGCAAUCCUGAAUUUGUGUCAGAUUUUAUCUUUAGAAACAUUUGUAUAAACACAGAUAGACAAACUUGCAAACAUAGAUACAGUGACAAAUAC